GGUCUCAAAGUUUCAUAAGCGCAUACGUCAAGCCAAACCCGCACCACCUCAAAAUUGUCAGCAAUGAGGACCGGUAUCCUCAUCAUCAUCAUUUUUGCCACUAUUGUCGUGGCUUACCCCUUUGCAACGUCUGCCGAGGAAGAGUGGUAUCCUAUAGGGGACCCCGACAAUGAACCACAUGUCCAGGAGCUUGGUGGCUGGGCAGUGGCGGAGCACGUCAAACAGGCACACGACGGGCUCAAAUUCAUCAACGUGGUGAGCGGUGCGGAGGCAAAUGCCGCUGGUGUGAAAUAUCGCCUCGACAUCAAAGCAUUGAAGAACAACGGCCAACCCGGUGCAUACAGAGCGAUUUUACUCGAGGAGGUCAGGGACAACGAGCGCACCCUCAUCUCCUUCGAACCCACGAACUAAGUGGCAACCAACUAGGUUCAUAGUACUUUGAUGUAAUAAACAUGUACCAAUGAGAACAAAUAAUUUGUGUAAGCGGUGUGGAAAACAUAAUUGAAUUUUAUAUAAUAAGUGUUUGGCCUACAAAAUGGGGAGUACGCUCCAACAUUAAAAAAAUCCCAAGAAAAAAAGGUGGUCAUGUUGCAUCUCCAAUUUUCUCCGGUAUUAUUAUAAUUCUAAGUAGCAAGCUCGCCAUUUUUGUUGCGCGUUAUUUG
rnacentral:lncRNA from 1 species